UGGGGUUACUUCAGGAUUAUUAAUUAAAUCAAUCUCCAUCUGGCUCCAAAUUCCAUCUGAAGCUUUUCCUCUCUUCUCCUUCCGGGAGAAGGAGCAGAGAGAAGAGAAUCACUGUGUUCCUGUCGCCGGCAUUUCUCACAAGGAGACUACCUCCUUGCCGUCACCGAUGAAGUUCCACGGAAAGAUAUUCUCGGAAUCCAUUCUGAGCCAAGCGAUCCGAACAAGAUCUAUCGGGUGUUGAGGGUCAAAUCCUGGGAUAAAUCAAAGUAUGGUCAAAGAGCUAUUGAGAAGGCAGAGCAGAAGGAACGUACAAGCAUGACUGGUGGAAAUGUAACCGCUCCAGAAAACCUCGGUCAGUUUCUCCAAAGUUAAUGUAUGGGAUCAUGUGACCCUGACAUCCCACUUCUCGGAAACCACCUGGAGAUGCAGAAGACAGAUGAUAUGCAGAUUGGAACACGGAACAAGGAGGUGAAAAACAGAGACCGUACCUUGCAGACAAUGGAGAUGUCAAAGGUCAACUAGAUCUUUAGUCAAAAGGUUAGAGGUCAAAAUUAGAUUGAGUGAUGGAACAAGCCAAGUGUGAGGAGAAGUGGGAAACGAAUAUGUGGCAUGGUCCUGAUCAGUUUUGCAUAUAAAAUUCCAAUUCCAAGAAUGCCAAGUCAUUGCAUAGCCCCAGAUUUUAUCAGCUUGGGGGAAGCAAAUCAUCUGGAGAUUCAGGGACUGGACAAAUGGGUCCAGGCUGGAGUUUAAGCUCUCACACUAAGGUCUCCCUGUAGGACAUCAUCGCAUAUAUCUGUGCAGGUUGGGAACUGCAUAAUUCCAAUGGGUCCGACCACACCGCAUCUAGUGACACCCCUGGAGUGCUGGGAUCAGUUGUGCAAUACUCCAUGGUCUCUGCAGCUGGAUUCCAAGAACGUGAGGAGGUCUGUUGCAUUUUUUUAGUGAUGGCAGGAAAUAUGAACAGAGGAAGAAGGGGAGGAGGGUAGAGAGAGGGAACGAGGAAGGAAGCCAGACUGAGAGAGAGAGAAAGAGGAGGGGGAGGAGGAGGAGGGGGAGAAGGAGAGAACACUUGAGUAAUAGUUCUAGUGAUCAGAUAGUUUAUUGUAAAAACUGGACUAUUUUAUUUUAUUUUAUUUUAUUUUAUUUUAGUAGGCUCCACACUCAACAUGGGGCUUGAACUUACAACUCUGAGGUCAAGAGUUGUAUGCUGUAUGGACUGAGCCAGCCAGGUGCCCCAAAGGUGGGAUAGUUUUGAAACUAUAGCAGAAGCUAUAGCUACACAAGAGCCAUUAAAAUUGGACACAGUAAUCAUAUGUUCACCCCAGGAAUAGGGCAUAUGUCCCUGGGCUUCAUUUGGUCCGGAUGAGAUUCUGUCUGCUACUUCUAACCACAGAGGGCUAUGGAGUGUGGCCCACAGAGGCAGCAGAGGGCAUCUGGGAAGCGUUGUAGGGACUUGGGGAUCCAGCUCUAGCCUUUCUGCACAGCAAGAAAGCAAGCUAUCGGGCAAGGCUUCUCAAAGUCCGAUGCCCCAAAUAUGCUUUCUUAAUUGUCUUGCCUAGGCCCAACCUCAAAUGCGUUCCCUUCUCCGUCCCUGGAAUGAAAACAGCCUUACUUGGAUGUGUUGGUGAUAUCUUGCCUUCUCUCCUCUUUCCUGAUGUUUUGGUAACUAGGCUUUAUAACCGGCAAACAGGUUCGCUCUUAAAGACUUAAUCAUUUCAGGGCUGUUUUGGCUUACCAUACUUCCCCCUAUGUGAUUAUCAGGACUGUCUUUAGUUACACGUCGACCAAAUAUGGUUAUGAUUUAAUGUGACCCUUGCACACAGCAUUAUAUGAAACGUAUGUCAGCUAACUGGCGUAUCCCAGGGGUUGCCCUGUCUUACCGACGAAUACGGUAUCAGUCUCAGGCGGUAUGAGAUUUGAGGGGCCCAUUGAAAUCACUUGUGAGGUUGUGAACAAACCAGCAUAAUAUAAGUGUGUGUGGUCACCUGGAGAGCUGGUUAAACCACAUUGCUGAGCCCUGCCCCCAGAGUUUCUGCUUCAGUAGGUCUGACGAGGGACAUAAGGCUUUGCAUUUCUUCUUCUUUUUUUAAAUGUUUAUAUUAUUUAUUUUUUGAGACACAUGGAUGCACACACACAGAGCA